rnacentral:lncRNA from 1 species
UGCCACACCUACAGAUCAAUUUUCAUCAACACAAUCACUGCUCGUUUGAGGAUCCCUAACAAAAACAUGUUCCUUGGCAAUAGCCCUCUUAGUUGACACAACAAACAUUUGUCACCACAAAAUUUCACCUCCAUAAAAGGACUCAGACAGUUUUUAGAAGUUGAUUUAACUGGGUUUGGCAUCUCUGUGCAAGAGGAGGGCACAGCUAGUUGACCGUCCUCAUCAGAGAAGUAAAACUUUCAAAGGGACCAGUCCAGAAGAGAAGCUUUCAGACAUGUUGUGGAGCAGCAGUCCUCCACCCUGGCUGCCUGUCAACGUUACCUGUGGAGCUUUUAGAUAUACAAACGCCAGCUCCAGCUUCUGAGUUCCUGGCAGCAGGGCCCUGGGCAUCUGUAUGUUUAAACAACCUCCCAGGGAUGCUGAUGCACAGCCAGGGCUGCGCGCCAUGGCUGGAGAAGAAUCAUUUCAUGGAAUUCACCAGAAGAGAAGUAACCAUUUUUUUUCACAAGUGGAAGAGCAGAGUUAAAUAUGCCAUGAUGUGUGGAGGAAUCCAUGCCAAUGUAUCCUCCUCGUGCUUUUAGUUUGUCCAUGGAAAAAUUGCCUUCCAUGAAACCAGUCCCUGGUGCCAAAAAGUUGGGGACCACUGGAACAGAGAGAUUUGGAAUGAAGAGCUGUCUCUAGCAAAAUAAAGUCAAUGACAGAAACAUGUGAAAAACUUCUUGGAGGGUUUUGUAUAGUACAACUUCAAUUGAUUGCUUUAAUUUUAGCUUUGUGAAUAUACAGCUCAUAUGAAAUAAAGAAAAAAUGUUGCAGAGUUCGUGUCAUUGAUAUCAUCUACCACCAGUUUGUCCAUUAGAUUACAGUAUAUUUUUGUAACUUUGAAUUUACUAUGCAUAGAAUUAAAAAUUUUUAAAUUUAAAAUUUAUUCAUGUUAAAUUAGUUUAAACGUGUAUAUUUUAAACUAAUAACAUGCAUAUUUUGAACUCUAGGGAUAGUGGGAGGGAGGAUGUGGUUACUUGAUACAAAAACAGUGAAGAUGAGUUUGUUUUUCAACUCUUGGAAUUACAGUCAUGGAAGGAAAUGGGACAGUGUUUAGCUAGUCAUUGAAAGCACCUGUCUCAUGUUUGAGCCGCUUGGCAGGUUUGUGGAUGUAUUAAUAAUAUAUUCAGUGGGAAUAGAAGUCCUUUCUGGUGACAGAUAGUCAAUUUAAUUACUAGACUAUGUGGUAUAUCUGGAUAUGUUGUGAUUUUCAUGCUGAACAUCACUCUGACAACUCGAAGAUUUAUGUUUUUAGAAAACACCCUAAGUGGGGUUAAUUUUAUGGCUGUCACUUAAGUUGAGCCAGGUGUAUUUCCUCAUUUAUCAUCGUCUGCCUUUUGCUCUUUAUGGUUUAGUGUUGUUGAGUGAUGUCUCUCCAAAAAUUCGAAGAUCUUCCUUUCGUCAGGAUGGCUGUGCCUGCCUGAUGUCUCUAGGGUGAUUGUUUGGAUUGAUUUGACAAUAAUCCUAUUAGGAGGAGGGAGGGUAGACCAGGUCUAGGAAAUUUCUAAUAUUUUUUUAGUUAACCACAUAUGAAAUUCUAUAAAUGUGGUUAGAAAUGGGAGUCAGUUUAGAUUACUCCCAUGCUCUCCCCCCUUCAUUUGUCCCCAGGGCUUACUUAUCCACUGUAGCUUUGAGCACCUCUUGAAUCCGUCCCCCCGGUGGGCGUCUUACACAGACAGUGACCAUUUUUUCUCUUGAACCAUGUCAUUAGCUUCAUAUCUGGUUUCCCUGACGUGACUCUUGCCAGAGUACAUCUGACCAUGUUGCUCUGUAACACUUAGUAUUCUUUUGGCAGCAUAAUGAUAGAAAACUUGAACCAAAGCAGCUUAUACAAAAAAAAAAAAAAAGGAAUUUAUUGGCUCAUGAAACUGAUUUGUGCAGGGGUAGGUCUCAGGAGAGAGAGGCUCCACAUGGCCACAGAGGAAGGUUCUAAAACUUCUCUCUGGGUCUGCUGGCUUAUGUAAUAAGCUUUGUGAGACUCACAGGAAGGUGCUUUUCCCUUAAGUAAAAAACAUUUGCAUGCACUUCCCUUCUCUAAUAA